AUCCUUUUGUAGCUCAAGAGCAUGACGACUGGGUGUUCACACCCAUCUGUGAGACGUGCUACCUUGAAAGCUUGUUACCACAUCAGCACAUUACCUGUCUGACA